GACGAACGCUGGCGGCGUGCCUAAUACAUGCAAGUAGAACGCACAGUUUAUACCGUAGCUUGCUACACCAUAAACUGUGAGUUGCGAACGGGUGAGUAACGCGUAGGUAACCUGCCUGGUAGCGGGGGAUAACUAUUGGAAACGAUAGCUAAUACCGCAUAAUAUUGAUUAUUGCAUGAUAAUUGAUUGAAAGAUGCUAUUGCAUCACUACCAGAUGGACCUGCGUUGUAUUAGCUAGUAGGUGAGGUAACGGCUCACCUAGGCGACGAUACAUAGCCGACCUGAGAGGGUGAUCGGCCACACUGGGACUGAGACACGGCCCAGACUCCUACGGGAGGCAGUAGUAGGGAAUCUUCGGCAAUGGACGAAAGUCUGACCGAGCAACGCCGCGUGAGUGAAGAAGGGUUUCGGAUCGUAAAGCUCUGUUGUAAGAGAAGAACGGGUGUGAGAGUGGAAAGUUCACACUGUGACGGUAUCUUACCAGAAAGGGACGGCUAACUACGUG
rnacentral:rRNA from 1 species